rnacentral:lncRNA from 1 species
GGCAUGUCACGCCCUCACUUAGGGGCACAUAGAUUUCAGGUGAAACGGAGUAGGUGGAAUUGGCCUCUCACCGUCUGUUUGGCUGAGGACAGAGGAGGAUCUUAAAGACAGUCUGCUAACAGUAAGAGGAAGAUCACUUCCAACUGCAGCCCUGGAGUCAGUAUACAAGAAGGGGACUCUUUUGGGCCCCGAAUCCUUACCAACUGGAUCUUGAAAACUCAAGUCCAAGAUGAGAAUCCACGUCAUUGACAUGGGAUUGAUUCUACGUAUCAUGCCUCCCUCUAGCCCACCUAGAACAUGUGAGUUCUUGUGAGUGUGCACCCUGCUACACUUCUCCAUUGACCCCAACACAAGUCUUCAAGCCCAAGUUUUCUGUCUCCUGAGGCAUGAGAAACAAGGGUCUUUCUACAGUAUGUGAAUGUGAGGUCACAUUCUGGCAACUCCUGAGGCUAGAUCUGGCCUGCGUGUGGAUUUUCUUAGCUUUGCACAAGAUUGAAAUGUUCAGUUGGUUGUGAACAUCUGAGUGUGUGUCCAAGUGCAGAUUUGGGCUGCCUCUGGGAAAUUGAAAAUAUCUAGCAACUCUCUUCUUACGGUUUCUUCUUUGCGUUUAGAUGAAAUACGUGUGUUCAACUUUUCCACAGUCCUCACCCUUCUCUAUAGUCCUACCCCGGGGCCUGCCUUGCUCAUUGACAUUAUUUGUUGUUUUGAAAGUAACUAGUGAGUGAAUAAUGUAUAUGCCUGGAAGGAUGAUGUGAGUGACAGACUGGAACAAAGUCCCUGCUGGGCAGGGACCGCUGUGCAGGGCAGGUCAUCUAAGCAGC